UCAAACGUUCAUGUGUAUCAGAUUUCCUUGAGACAACUCGUACAUAAACCGAUUCGGAAACAAAGUAAGUCAAUGUUUUAUGUUUUGUGAACAAGUAACAAAUAUGAUAAGUCAGUUCGUACACAAAGCUUUAUUUUGUCUAUAUAAAUAUUCAAACAAUUUUAUUUCAAUUGUAUAUACGUUUCACUGUAGAAAAAUUCAUAAUGUAACAAUUAAAAAAAUUACACGAAUCAGUUAAGCAUUGACUGGAUUCUUUCUAGUGAUCAUAAUAGACAAGGUCUCAUUGGUCAGAAUUUGUAUCAACCGAUCCGAUUGGCCAAAGUUUCCAAACCGCGCCAUUUCGAGCAACAGAAGGACGCUGUCGUCAGUUGGGAAGACAAAUUCGUCAGCAUUAACUUUGAGAACGUUAAAGAACUUACUAGAAAACCGAUAAAAGAUCAUCAUAUAGAAGGGGAAUUCAUCAUUGCAACAUUUGGCAAAGCUCGGAUCUCAGAUGACAGGCAACACCACAGCGAAAGAGGAAAGCAAACAAGACUGUUGUUGCUCGAAAGGAAAGGAAGCCACAAGUUCUUAAAGAGAAAACAUAUAAAGGCUACACAAAGAAAUCAUGGCUGAGAAGUAUUCCGUUGCAGCAGUGCAAGUUCGUGACAAAAUUAUGGACAUACAGAAGCCUUCCCGAAAUAAAGACUUUUUUGACAAGUUGUGUACUUCCCUGUGUACUCGCCUGUGGUGAUCUC